rnacentral:rRNA from 1 species
AGAGUUUGAUCCUGGCUCAGGACGAACGCUGGCGGCACGCUUAACACAUGCAAGUCGAACGAGAGAAGAGGAGCUUGCUUUUCUGAUCUAGUGGCGGACGGGUGAGUAACACGUGAGCAAUCUGCCUUUCAGAGGGGGAUACCGAUUGGAAACGAUCGUUAAUACCGCAUAACAUAAUUGAACCGCAUGAUUUGAUUAUCAAAGAUUUAUCGCUGAAAGAUGAGCUCGCGUCUGAUUAGCUAGUUGGUAAGGUAACGGCUUACCAAGGCGACGAUCAGUAGCCGGACUGAGAGGUUGAUCGGCCACAUUGGGACUGAGACACGGCCCAGACUCCUACGGGAGGCAGCAGUGGGGAAUAUUGCACAAUGGAGGAAACUCUGAUGCAGCGAUGCCGCGUGAGGGAAGAAGGUUUUAGGAUUGUAAACCUCUGUCUUCAGGGACGAAAAAAGACGGUACCUGAGGAGGAAGCUCCGGCUAACUACGUGCCAGCAGCCGCGGUAAUACGUAGGGAGCGAGCGUUGUCCGGAAUUACUGGGUGUAAAGGGAGCGUAGGCGGGAUCGCAAGUCAGAUGUGAAAACUAUGGGCUUAACCCAUAAACUGCAUUCGAAACUGUGGUUCUUGAGUGAAGUAGAGGUAAGCGGAAUUCCUAGUGUAGCGGUGAAAUGCGUAGAUAUUAGGAGGAACAUCAGUGGCGAAGGCGGCUUACUGGGCUUUAACUGACGCUGAGGCUCGAAAGCGUGGGGAGCAAACAGGAUUAGAUACCCUGGUAGUCCACGCCGUAAACGAUGAUUACUAGGUGUGGGGGGACUGACCCCUUCCGUGCCGCAGCAAACGCAAUAAGUAAUCCACCUGGGGAGUACGACCGCAAGGUUGAAACUCAAAGGAAUUGACGGGGGCCCGCACAAGCAGUGGAGUAUGUGGAUUAAUUCGAAGCAACGCGAAGAACCUUACCAGGUCUUGACAUCGUAUGCAUAGCUCAGAGAUGAGUGAAAUCUCUUCGGAGACAUAUAGACAGGUGGUGCAUGGUUGUCGUCAGCUCGUGUCGUGAGGUGUUGGGUUAAGUCCCGCAACGAGCGCAACCCUUACUGUUAGUUGCUACGCAAGAGCACUCUAGCAGGACUGCCGUUGACAAAACGGAGGAAGGUGGGGAUGACGUCAAAUCAUCAUGCCCCUUAUGACCUGGGCCUCACACGUACUACAAUGGCUGUCAACAGAGGGAAGCAAAGCCGCGAGGUGGAGCGAACCCCUAAAAGCAGUCUUAGUUCGGAUUGUAGGCUGCAACCCGCCUACAUGAAGUCGGAAUUGCUAGUAAUCGCAGAUCAGCAUGCUGCGGUGAAUACGUUCCCGGGCCUUGUACACACCGCCCGUCACGCCAUGGGAGUCGGUAACACCCGAAGCCUGUAGUCUAACCGCAAGGAGGACGCAGUCGAAGGUGGGAUUGAUGACUGGGGUGAAGUCGUAACAAGGUA